rnacentral:lncRNA from 1 species
AAAAAAAUCUCAUUACUUUGAUUUAAGAAAAUGACCCCUAGUGAUAUUAUAUCAUUAUUCCAAUAUUAAAAUUUUGAUUUAGAAAUCCAAAGACCGUAUCCCUUAUCCCUGACUUUAAUCCCUAAUUUUAUCCCUAACAAUUGUUAUAGAUUUUAUCCCAUGUUAUCCCCAAAUUAUCCAAUGAUUAUCCCAUUAAUUACAAAAGAAAAAUUAUAAUACUUAAAUAUUAUAUAUUUAUAUGACAUAUCCCUUAUCCCAAUUUAUA